CAACGGAUAAAAGGUACCCCGGGGAUAACAGGCUGAUCUUCCCCAAGAGUCCAUAUCGACGGGAUGGUUUGGCACCUCGAUGUCGGCUCGUCGCAUCCUGGGGCUGGAGUCGGUCCCAAGGGUUGGGCUGUUCGCCCAUUAAAGCGGUACGCGAGCUGGGUUUAGAACGUCGUGAGACAGUUCGGUCCCUAUCCGCUGUGCGCGUAGGAGUCUUGAGAAGGGCUGUCCCUAGUACGAGAGGACCGGGACGGACGAACCUCUGGUGUGCCAGUUGUUCUGCCAAGGGCAUGGCUGGUUGGCUACGUUCGGGAGGGAUAACCGCUGAAAGCAUCUAAGCGGGAAGCCUGCUUCGAGAUGAGGACUCCCACCCACUUGAUGGGGUAAGGCUCCCAGUAGACGACUGGGUUGAUAGGCCGGAUCUGGAAGCACGGUAACGUGUGGAGGUGACCGGUACUAAUAGGCCGAGGGCUUGUCCUCAGUUG
rnacentral:rRNA from 1 species